CACCUACUUAUCACGCCAAACACCAUUUUUAGCUUAGAUGGAGGUUUCAAGCUCCGAUUUGAGCACCGAGACGAGCGCCGAUCAUCUUUUCGAUCACGUAUCUAAGUAGGUUGAGCUGAUGUGAUGAUGGUGCUGCAAUGAGCGGAGUCUCCAGGGUUGUUAAUAAAUAGUUAACCUGUCUAGAAUAUGUCUUCAUACAUAUGUCUAGCUACUUUCCGCUGCAAGAUGUUGUUGAUGUUAUAGUAUGUUAUGUCAUACUUUGAGUCUUAAGAGAAUGGUUUCAUAUGAUGUAUAACUUGAUUAAUGAUAUUAAUUAAGUUUUAUGUUGUCUUUCAUAGACUGUUCAAAAGAGUAUUAAUGAGUAAAUACGACGAUUUUUCUUAAGUUGAGUAA